UCUGUGUUUGCAGUCCAAGGCUAGGCAAUACUCUGCUGCCCAAAGUACAUGUGGAACAGAAGAUCCAAGUAGUAUUUUAAGCAGGCUAACAAUUAUACAAUUCCCUUCAACUACUGGCAUGGAAAGUGAUGACCAGGCACGUUCCUUCUCACCAUCUAUUAUGACAAAUUUCUGUUUACUUCUGACAACAGAACAGUGACUUCUAGGCACUCUUCCUUCGUAGUGCAGGAGGGAAAGAUGCACCAGCUCUGUAAGGUAGGAGUGGUGUGAAGUGCUCAUUGCACACUGACAAAUAAGACUAAUCCCACCAGAGUAUUAUUGAAAUGCUCAAUAUCAGAACAACCCUGGGACUUCAUUUCCAAUCCAACAUGCAACCGCAUCUGUACAUGCUAUUCCCCAACUAAUGCAAGCUGGGUCAGCUGGUGCAUUAACACUGUGACCUGCCCUGCAGCCUGGAGGACUACAGGGAUACUCAACGUACCACAAGACAGCUUCAAAGAUAAAGCUGAUGCUCAAAUUCAAGACUGGGUAAAUCUUACUCUGAGAGGAUGAAUACAUGGAUCAACUUGCAGACAGGUAAAACUGAAGAAACACCAUGACCAAUUUUUCUUCAAUAAUAAUAGAAACAAAGUAAAGCUUCUAAUAUUUUAUAUAUGAGCAGACUUCUUGUCCUCUUCUACUCUUUGGUGUAUAUAAAUAAUAUAUUUCAAUAAAUAAACAGCAUGGAAAAU